rnacentral:sRNA from 1 species
CGGGUCUUUGGGCCCAACCUCCCAUCCGUGUCUAUUGUACCCUGUUGCUUCGGCGGGCCCGCCGCUUGUCGGCCGCCGGGGGGGCGCCUCUGCCCCCCGGGCCCGUGCCCGCCGGAGACCCCAACACGAACACUGUCUGAAAGCGUGCAGUCUGAGUUGAUUGAAUGCAAUCAGUUAAAACUUUCAACAAUGGAUCUCUUGGUUCCGGCAUCGAUGAAGAACGCAGCGAAAUGCGAUAACUAAUGUGAAUUGCAGAAUUCAGUGAAUCAUCGAGUCUUUGAACGCACAUUGCGCCCCCUGGUAUUCCGGGGGGCAUGCCUGUCCGAGCGUCAUUGCUGCCCUCAAGCCCGGCUUGUGUGUUGGGUCGCCGUCCCCCUCUCCGGGGGGACGGGCCCGAAAGGCAGCGGCGGCACCGCGUCCGAUCCUCGAGCGUAUGGGGCUUUGUCACAUGCUCUGUAGGAUUGGCCGGCGCCUGCCGACGUUUUCCAAACAUUCUUUCCAGGUUGACCUCGGAUCAGGUAGGGAUACCCGCUGAACUUAAGCAUAUCAC